CAUGUCCUGUAUUAGGAAAAUGUAUACAAUUACAGCUUGUUGACACCAGACUUAAGAGGGGGGACACCCUAGAUAACAUUCUUUCCUCCAGAACUCCAUGGAAGAACAAAUACAGGCGACUUGUAAGUAUCACAUAACUCAGAUCCUGUUCAAUAAAACAAGCACAAACUCUCAGCUCGUUGUAGACUCCCCUCUACAUGUAAGUAGACAAAGGAGGAGGACUACAGUACAUUGGCCAUUCAUCAAAGACGGCUAGGUAGAUAAACACCCACAUGCCUAGCAUAGCAGCGGCCCAGACGAUAGACAGAAUGCACGUACACAUCGGCGUUCAAGGUGCGUCUCCUCUAUAAGCUUGUGGGGGGGAGAAUAACAGGAAACAACGGCGCUCUGUGUCAUCCUCUUCUGUCGCCAGUUCAGCGGGUUGACGCAGGUUUUCAGCACGGUGCCACUGGUUUCCAUGUCGCCAGUCAGCAGCACGUCAGUCGGAGGGGGAAAUUUGUGAAAGUGUCCAUGUGCCAGCUCACAGGUUUCCUUUUGGAUACUAGGGCAAGGCUGUGUGUUAGCAAAUAGCUUUGGUGCAUGACGUGCGAGAUGGACAAGACGGGAUCUGGAGGUAUACUGACAGGAAGACAAACAAGGUAUGUACAAUCAGUGGUAUAAAGUACUGAAGUAAAAAUACUUUAAACUACUACAGUAGCUUUAUGGGGUAUCUGUACUUUACUUGAAUAUUUAUAUUUUUGACUACUUUUCCUUUUGUACAUUCCAAAAGAAAAUAUUGUAUUUCUUACUCCAUACAUUUUCCCUGACAACCAAAAGUACUCGUUACAUUUUGAAUGCAUUGCAGGACAGGAAAAUAGCCAAAUUCACCACUUAUCAAUAGAACAUGUCAUCAUCCCUACUGCCUCUGUUCUGGCAGACUCACUAAACACAAAUGCAUCUUUUGUAAAUAAUGUCUGAGUGUUGGAGUGUGACCCUGGCUAUCCGAAAAAUGUAAAAACAGGAAAAUGGUGCCAUCUGCUUUGCUUAAUAUAAGGAAUUUAAAAUUAUUUAUAUGUUUACUUUUGAUACUUAAGUAUAUUUGAGCAAUUACAUUUACUUUUGAUACUUAAGUAUAUUUAGAACCAAACACUUUUAGACUUUUACUCAAGUAGUAUUUUACUGGCUGAUUUUCACUUUUACUUGAGUCCCACUGAUUAGUAUUUGUAUAUAUGAGUCCUUUGGUGCGUUGAUAAGUGUUGCAAUGUUCGUUGGUAAGUGUGAGUACCUGUUCUGUGUGUUUUUGGCUUUCGUGCCCUUGUGGAUUGAUCAGAUGAUUACGGGUUUCGUCCCAUGUGCGCGUGUGAAUUUAUUCGAGGUACUCCUCGCUCUUUUGUUUGGGUUUCUACCUUGUGUGUUGUACAUGUUUGUUUGGUCUUCGUCCCCGUACCUUUACACGGCACACUGUAAUUAGAGGUAUAAUUUUUUUUAACAAUUCUGCGUUCCUGCGCCUGUCUCCCGAAUCAUUGUUACCAACGUGACAGAAUAAUCGACCAUUGAGGGAGACAGCGGGAAUGGCCCAUCUGACGAAGCAGCGACUGGUCCGUCCGGCACCGCCGCAACUUCGGCAGCUGCAACUGGGUUGUCUGGAGUCUGGGUCUGUCCGACGACGCAACUUCAGCAGCCACAACUGGCCCCUCCGACGCCGCCACAACCAGUCCAUCCGACGCUACUGGUCCGUCCGACGCCACCGCAACUUCCUACGGCAGCGGCAACUCUGGCCCGUCUGACAACGACGCAACUUCGGCAGCUGCAUCGGGUCCUGAUCGACCCGCACUUCGUUCCUGUGAUCGCCCACGAGAACGGUGUCAUUUCGCAUGAGGGGGGGGGGGUACUGUCACGGGUCCCUCCGGAACUUUCUUCACGCACACCUGUCCCCUGUCCCCUAUUCCCACUGAUUACUAUUUGUAUAUAUGUGCCCUUUGGUUUCCAUUGGGGGGUUGAUUAGUGUUACAAUGUCCGUUGGUGCGUGUGAGUACCUGUGCUGUGUGUUUUGGGCUUUUGUGCCUUCAGAUUACAGGUCCCGUGUGUUAAUCAUUGUGCGCAUGUGUAUUUAUUCAAGGUACUCCUCACUCUUUUGUUUGGGUUUCAAUCCUGUGUGUUUUGUAAGUGUUUGUUUGGUCUUCGUCCCUGUGCCUUUUUACGGCACGCCGUAAUUUGGUGUAUAACCAAAAAAACUAUUACGCAUUCCUGCGCCUGUCUCCCGAAUCAUUGUUACCAACGUGACAUAAGGUACUGUAUCUAUACUUUUACUCAAGUAUGCCAAUUGGAUACUUUUUCCACCACUGUGUACAAUUGGUAUUGGUUUGUCACAUAAUGUUAUACAGAUCACAUGUAGGCUAUCAUCUAAUUUGUAUUAAUGGUUUCUCUAAAACCUUAUAGCACUCAGUCACAGCAGCCAUCUUCUUCCUUCCUGAGCUCUUCAAUGUAGAUUCCAGACGUCUCUACAUUAUGGACGUGAUUUCAUCCUCCCUACACCGCUGAUGAAUAUAACUGGAAACCUGUUCGAUCACCACGCACUGUAAAAUCAUUCUUGCUAUGGAUACGAAUGAUAUCAACAUAUUAACACGCCAGAGAAAAUAUUGACCGAACUUUUUAUAUUUAUAUUUUUGAAUUCUGCUUUGCCACUAAAAUCAUAAUAAACAUUGACUACUAAACUAUUGUGUUAUUGUUAUGCUGAUUCAUAAUACAAAUAAUGGGUAAAAGGUUAUUCAAGGAACCAUUAAAGUUAUUUUUAAGAACUUAGAGGUUCCCCCAGUUUCAAUUUGAAGAACCCCUAAAAGAUCUUCCAGGAACCUUUUCUUUUUAGAGUAUAAUACUUCUGACAGCCAACUUUCUAACUCUGCCCAUAGCUUCUGGACUUUAUAGCAUUCCCAGAAGGCAUGGAUUAUUGAGUCCUUGUUAGUUUUACACUUAAGACAUGCCUCUGCAGUUGUGCUGUAGAAUU